rnacentral:rRNA from 1 species
GACGAACGCUGGCGGCGUGCCUAAUACAUGCAAGUCGAACGCAGUGGGGACGGGUGAGUAACACGUGGGUAACCUCCCAUCAGAGGGGAUAACACUUGGUAAUAGGUGCUAAACCGAUACUGCUGGAUCAACCCGCGGUGCAUUAGCUAGUUGGUGAGGUAACGGCACACCAAGGCCACGAUGGAUAGCGUACCUGUGAGGAGGAACGGCCACACUGGGACUGAUACACGGCCCAGAAUCCUACGGGUGGCAGCAGUAGUGAAUCUUCGGAAAUGGACGAAAGUCUGCCCGAGCAACGCCGCGUGAGGGAAGAAGGUUUUAGGAUCGUAAACCUCUGUUGUUGGGGAAGCGGUAUCUAACCAGAAAGCCACGGCUAAAUACGUGCCAGCAGCCGCGGUAAUUC